AGAUUGAACGCUGGCGGCAUGCCUAACACAUGCAAGUCGAACGGGAGUAGCAAUACUCUAGUGGCGGACGGGUGAGGAAUACGUAGGAAUUUGCCCUUAAGUGGGGGAUAACCCGGGGAAACCCGGAUUAAUACCGCAUGACCUCGAAAGAGCAAAGUGGGGGAUCACAAGACCUCACGCUUUUGGAGAAGCCUACGUCGGAUUAGCUAGUUGGUGAGGUAAUGGCUCACCAAGGCGACGAUCCGUAACUGGUCUGAGAGGAUGAUCAGUCACACCGGAACUGAGACACGGUCCGGACUCCGUACGGGAGGCAGCAGUGGGGAAUAGUAGGACAAGUGGG
rnacentral:rRNA from 1 species